rnacentral:rRNA from 1 species
CCUACGGGAGGCAGCAGUGGGGAAUAUUGCACAAUGGGGGAAACCCUGAUGCAGCGACGCCGCGUGAGUGAAGAAGUAUUUCGGUAUGUAAAGCUCUAUCAGCAGGGAAGAAAUAGCGACCUUUGGUUCGCCAGACGGUACCUGAUUAAGAAGCCCCGGCUAACUACGUGCCAGCAGCCGCGGUAAUACGUAGGGGGCAAGCGUUAUCCGGAUUUACUGGGUGUAAAGGGAGCGUAGACGGCAGCGCAAGUCUGAAGUGAAAUGCCGGGGCUUAACCCCGGAACUGCUGUGGAAACUGUGUAGCUAGAGUGCAUGAGAGGUAAGUGGAAUUCCUCGUGUAGCGGUGAAAUGCGUAGAGAUGAGGAGGAACACCAGUGGCGAAGGCGGCUUACUGGACUGUAACUGACGUUGAGGCUCGAAAGCGUGGGGAGCAAACAGGAUUAGAUACCCGAGUAGUC